rnacentral:rRNA from 1 species
GAUGAACGCUGGCGGCGUGCCUAACACAUGCAAGUCGAACGGAGUCCAGCCUUUAAGACCUUCGGGUCAAAGAGGGGAAGACUGAGUGGCGGACGGGUGAGUAACACGUGGGCAACCUGGCUCAUAGAGGGGGAUAACAGAGAGAAAUUUCUGCUAAUACCGCAUAAGCACACACUGCCGCAUGGCAGAGGGUGAAAAGAGAAUCGCUAUGAGAUGGACCCGCGUCUGAUUAGCCAGUUGGCAGGGUAAGAGCCUACCAAAGCGACGAUCAGUAGCCGAUCUGAGAGGAUGAACGGCCACAUUGGGACUGAGACACGGCCCAAACUCCUACGGGAGGCAGCAGUGGGGGAUAUUGCACAAUGGGGGGAACCCUGAUGCAGCGACGCCGCGUGAGUGAAGAAGUAUUUCGGUAUGUAAAGCUCUAUCAGCAGGGAAGAUAAUGACAAUACCUGAAUAAGAAGCCCCGGCUAACUACGUG